GAUGAACGCUGGCGGCGUGCCUAACACAUGCAAGUCGAGCGAACAGACGAGACACUUUCUUCUUUCACGUUAGCGGAGCACGGGUGUGUAACACGUGUAUAACCCUCCUAUAUUUCUGGUAAAACUUCGUGAAACCGGAUCCAAUACCAGAUUAUAUUUUGAACCGCAUGGUUCAUAAGCGAAUGACGGCCUUCCUUGCACUUAUCGAUGCAUCCGCGCUGGAUUAGCUAGUUGGUAAGGUAACGGCUUACCAAGGCAACGCUGCGUAGCCGAGCUGAGAGGGUGAUCGGCCACACUGGAACGGAGACACGGUCCAGACUCCUACGGGAGGCAGCAGUAGGGAAUAUUGCGCAAUGGGCGAAAGCCUGACGGAGCAACGCCGCGUGAGUGAUGAAGGUCUUCGGGUCGUAAAGCUCUGUUAUUGGGGAAGAACAGAUGUGUGAGAAAAUGUAGACUUAUUGACGGUACCUAAUCAAGAAGCACCGGCUAACUACGUG
rnacentral:rRNA from 1 species